rnacentral:rRNA from 1 species
AGGCAGCAGUGGGGAAUAUUGCGCAAUGGGCGGAAGCCUGACGCAGCGACGCCGCGUGAGGGAUGACGGCCUUCGGGUUGUAAACCUCUUUCAGCUCUGACGAAGCGAGAGUGACGGUAGGAGCAGAAGAAGCACCGGCCAACUACGUGCCAGCAGCCGCGGUAAUACGUAGGGUGCAAGCGUUGUCCGGAAUUAUUGGGCGUAAAGAGCUCGUAGGCGGUCUGUCGCGUCGAAUGUGAAAACCCGGGGCUCAACCCCGGGCCUGCAUUCGAUACGGGCAGACUAGAGUUCGGUAGGGGAGUCUAGAAUUCCUGGUGUAGCGGUGAAAUGCGCAGAUAUCAGGAGGAACACCGGUGGCGAAGGCGGGACUCUGGGCCGAUACUGACGCUGAGGAGCGAAAGCGUGGGGAGCAAACAGGAUUAGAUACCCUGGUAG